ensembl:piRNA 21ur-4018 ncRNA
UAAAUUGCUCGAUUUCACAAA